rnacentral:rRNA from 1 species
ACUUUUUGUAGAACGGUCCGGCGAGUUAUGAUACGCGGUAAGGUUAAGGACUUAAGGUCCGGAGCCGAAGCGAAAGCGAGUGUUAAGAGCACGAGGAAUCACGUAUCAUAGACCCGAAACCGGGUGAUCUAUCCAUGUCCAGGAUGAAGCUGCCGUAAGAGGUAGUGGAGGUCCGAACACACAUCCGUUGAAAAGGGUGGUGAUGAGGUGUGGAUAGGGGAGAAAUUCCAAUCGAACCCGGAGAUAGCUGGUUCUCCUCGAAAUAGCUUUAGGGCUAGCCUUCAGUUAGUCUGCCGCAGGUAGAGCACUGAAUUUCCUAGGGGGCGUCAAAGCCUACCGAAGAAUAUCAAACUGCGAAUGGCGGACAGAUGAUGCUGGGGAGUCAGACUGCACGAGAUAAGUUGGGUGGUCAAAAGGGAAAGAGCCCAGACCUACAGCUAAGGUCCCAAAGUGCGUGUUAAGUGGAAAAGGAUGUGGGAUUUCGAAGACAACUAGGAUGUUGGCUCAGAAGCAGCCACACAUUAAAAGAGUGCGUAAUAGCUCACUAGUCGAGAGGUCCUGCGCCGAAAAUGUCCGGGGCUGAAACACGACACCGAAGCUUAGGAACAGAAAUGUUGGUAGAGGAGCAUUGUUAGCGGAACGAAGCCAUACCGGAAGGAGUGGUGGACUGCUAAGAAGAGAGAAUGCCGGAAUGAGUAGCGAGAUUGAAGUGAGAAUCUUCAAGGCCGAAUAUCUAAGGUUUCCAGGGUAAAGCUGAUCUGCCCUGGGUAAGUCGGGGCCUAAGGCGAGGUCGAAAGACGUAGCCGAUGGACAACAGGUUGAAAUUCCUGUACUGCGAUAUAUCAGAAAUGUGGGGACACAGAAGGAAAGUGUGAGCCGGGAAAGGAAAGACCGGUGCAAGCACAGGAGGAGAGAUACAGGCAAAUCCGUAUUUCAAUCCAAUGGUGUUACGCGGAGCGAACAAAAGUAGCGAAGCACACAGACCAUCUGUCGAGAAAAGCCGCUAUUGUGUAUACCGUACCCGUACCGUAAACCGACACAGGUGGAUGAGGAGAGAAUCCUAAGGCCGGCGGGAGAAGCAUUGUUAAGGAACUCGGCAAAAUGACCCCGUAACUUCGGGAGAAGGGGUGCUCACGCAAGUGAGCCGCAGAGAACUGGCCCAAGCAACUGUUUAGCAAAAACACAGGUCUAUGCAAAACCGAAAGGUGAGGUAUAUGGGCUGACGCCUGCCCGGUGCUGGAAGGUUAAGAGGAGAUGUUAGAGCAAUCGAAGCAUUGAAUUUAAGCCCCAGUAAACGGCGGCCGUAACUAUAACGGUCCUAAGGUAGCGAAAUUCCUUGUCGGGUAAGUUCCGACCCGCACGAAAGGCGUAAUGAUUUGGGCACUGUCUCGACAAUGCACCCGGUGAAAUUGAAAUACCAGUGAAGAUGCUGGUUACCUGCGCCAGGACGGAAAGACCCCAUGGAGCUUUACUCUAGCUUGAUACUGGGAUUCGGUAUUGCAUGUACAGGAUAGGUGGGAGACGAAGAGGUGAUGACGCCAGUUGUCACGGAGUCGAUGUUGGGAUACCACCCCUGCAGUACUGGGUUUCUAACCUGCGGCCGUGACCCGGCCGGGGGACAAUGUCUGGUGGGGAGUUUGACUGGGGCGGUCGCCUCCGAAAGGGUAUCGGAGGCGCUCAAAGGUUCCCUCAGAAUGGUUGGAAACCAUUCGAAGAGUGCAAAGGCAGAAGGGAGCUUGACUGCGACACCGACGGGUGGAGCAGGUACGAAAGUAGGACUUAGUGAUCCGGUGGUAUGAAAGUGGGAUUGCCAUCGCUCAACGGAUAAAAGCUACCCUGGGGAUAACAGGCUUAUCACUCCCAAGAGUUCACAUCGACGGAGUGGUUUGGCACCUCGAUGUCGGCUCAUCGCAUCCUGGGGCUGUAGUAGGUCCCAAGGGUUGGGCUGUUCGCCCAUUAAAGCGGUACGCGAGCUGGGUUCAGAACGUCGUGAGACAGUUC